rnacentral:rRNA from 1 species
GACGAACGCUGGCGGCGUGCUUAAUACAUGCAAGUCGAGCGGAAGGGCGCGAAGCUUGUUUUUUUCAUGGUUGCGGCGGGGGGGGGUGUAACGCGUGGAAAAACCCCUUAUCUUUCUGGGAAAUUCACGGGAAAACGGCUAUUAUAGCGGAGAAUAUUUUGAUCCGUGUUGUUCAAAAGAGAGAGACGGUGGUGGGGUCUUGUAUAGAUGGUUCCGCGCUGGAUUAGGUAGUUGGGAAGGUAACGGCUUACCACGGGAACGAUGCAUAGCCGACCUGAGAGGGUGGUAGGCCACACUGGAACUGAGACACGGUCCAGACUCCUACGGGAGGCAGCAGUAGGGAAUCUUCCGCAAAGGGCGAAAGCCUGACGGAGCAACGCCGCGUGAGUGAUGAAGGUCUUCGGAUCGUAAAACUCUGUUAUUAGGGAAGAACAUAUGUGUAAGUAACUGUGCACAUCUUGACGGUACCUAAUCAGAAAGCCACGGCUAACUACGUG